rnacentral:rRNA from 1 species
CGCGCCAGCAGCCGCGGUAAUACGGAGGAUCCGAGCGUUAUCCGGAUUUAUUGGGUUUAAAGGGAGCGUAGGCGGACGCUUAAGUCAGUUGUGAAAGUUUGCGGCUCAACCGUAAAAUUGCAGUUGAUACUGGGUGUCUUGAGUACAGUAGAGGCAGGCGGAAUUCGUGGUGUAGCGGUGAAAUGCUUAGAUAUCACGAAGAACUCCGAUUGCGAAGGCAGCCUGCUGGACUGUAACUGACGCUGAUGCUCGAAAGUGUGGGUAUCAAACACGAUUAGAUACCCUGGUAGUCCACACAGUAAACGAUGAAUACUCGCUGUUUGCGAUAUACAGUAAGCGGCCAAGCGAAAGCGUUAAGUAUUCCACCUGGGGAGUACGCCGGCAACGGUGAAACUCAAAGGAAUUGACGGGGGCCCGCACAAGCGGAGGAACAUGUGGUUUAAUUCGAUGAUACGCGAGGAACCUUACCCGGGCUUGAAUUGCAACUGAAUGAUGUGGAGACAUGUCAGCCGCAAGGCAGUUGUGAAGGUGCUGCAUGGUUGUCGUCAGCUCGUGCCGUGAGGUGUCGGCUUAAGUGCCAUAACGAGCGCAACCCUUAUCGAUAGUUACCAUCAGGUGAUGCUGGGGACUCUGUCGAGACUGCCGUCGUAAGAUGUGAGGAAGGUGGGGAUGACGUCAAAUCAGCACGGCCCUUACGUCCGGGGCUACACACGUGUUACAAUGGGGGGUACAGAAGGCAGCUACACGGCGACGUGAUGCUAAUCCCUAAAGCCUCUCUCAGUUCGGAUUGGAGUCUGCAACCCGACUCCAUGAAGCUGGAUUCGCUAGUAAUCGCGCAUCAGCCACGGCGCGGUGAAUACGUUCCCGGGCCUUGCACU